GACGAACGCUGGCGGCGUGCUUAACACAUGCAAGUCGAACGGAAAGGCCCUGCUUUUGUGGGGUGCUCGAGUGGCGAACGGGUGAGUAACACGUGAGUAACCUGCCCUUGACUUUGGGAUAACUUCAGGAAACUGGGGCUAAUACCGGAUAGGAGCUCCUGCUGCAUGGUGGGGGUUGGACAGUUUCGGCGGUUGGGGAUGGAAUCGCGGCUUAUCAGCUUGUUGGUGGGGUAGUGGCUUACCAAGGCUUUGACGGGUAGCCGGCCUGAGAGGGUGACCGGCCACAUUGGGACUGAGAUACGGCCCAGACUCCUACGGGAGGCAGCAGUGGGGAAUAUUGCACAAUGGGCGGAAGCCUGAUGCAGCAACGCCGCGUGCGGGAUGACGGCCUUCGGGUUGUAAACCGCUUUCGCCUGUGACGAAGCGUGAGUGACGGUAAUGGGUAAAGAAGCACCGGCUAACUACGUG
rnacentral:rRNA from 1 species